GACCGUGCGAAGGUAGCAUAAUCAUUAGUCUUUUAAUUGUAGGCUGGAAUGAAGGGUCGGACAAGAAACGCUCUGUCUCUUUUAUAAAAUUUGAAUUUUACUUUUAAGUGAAAAGGCUUAAAUAGUGUGACGGGACGAUAAGACCCUAUAAAACUUUACUUGAUAUUUAGAUUCUUUGAUUGAGAAGUUAAAAGAAAUAUUCUAUUUCUCUCGUUUUGUUGGGGUGAUAAAGAUAUAAUUUGUUUUGUAACUGUCUAGUAAGAAAAAUAAUACUAAUUAGUUCUUGAUCCUUUCUUAAAGAUUAAAAGAUUAAGUUACUUUAGGGAUAACAGCGUAAUUUUUUUUGAGAGUUCUUAUCGACAAAAUUAGUUGCGACCUCGAUGUUGAAUUAAAAUUACCUUUUUUUGUAGAAGAAUAAAAGGUGGGUCUGUUCGACCUUUAAAAUUUUACAUGAUUUGAGUUCAAACCGGUGUGAGCCAGGUUGGUUUCUAUCANA
rnacentral:rRNA from 1 species